AUGAGUCCAAAUUUCCAUGAUAUCAUAAGGUCAAGAUCAUGGCAACAAAUCCAGUUGAAGUGAUGAAGAUUAAACCUUAGCAGGGAGCAACCUGGAGUAAGCUGACACUUCUGAAGUGGUUGAAGAUGUGAUGGUAUAAGUAGGUUUUUCCACCCUAUGGGGAGGGGAAAAAAAAGCUUUAAUUACAAAGUGUACAAGGUUCAUUGCUUCUCAGGACUUUAGCAUCUUUUAUUACAGAGACAAAAAUGCAACACUGAAAACACAUCUGAAGUCACCUGCUGAUGUGUGGUGUUUCCUCUCCUGAGACACUAGAUUCACAUCCUCAAGUAUCUCCACAAUAGGGGUGAAGUCCUUGUUUGGUAUAUGGCCAUAUCUGACCAGUCACUACACUGACAUUUCAGUUCAGCUUAUGUAGUGGUGGCAUGACCAUUCCACCUCAUGAACAGAGAACAGUCCCUAGAGAAACUGAAUGGAAGACUAAACAAAUAAUGGAAGUUCUGGUGCAGUGGCUGAGCUAGAAACCCUGCAAGGUUAAAAAGGUUUCACCCAAAUGCCUGAGAUCCUUCAAGAACUACAAGAAAGAUCAAAACCUUACAGAUGAUAAACCUUCCCAGUCCUGAUCAGAUAAUGAGACCUCACUACAAGUUUGUGCUGAUUUAUCCAGCCUACAGAAAGGAUUGCCCUUGUUUCAGGAGAGAGAAAAGGACUCUAAUGCAGAAGUUCUGUAAAAUCUCACUGCAGCUUCACAUUCAUGGUAAAUUUUACCAUGCGUGGGUAAAUGAUUGGCCUAAUUAUGUUUCUGAUAUCUACCACAGAAGUUGUAUUAUUUCCUUCUGUUCCCCCAUCUGUCUCUACCCAUCUGUUUUCUCUUAUGGUUGGCCUGUAAGAUCUUCGGGGCGGGGGUUGUUUUUUGUUUCUGUGUACAGCAUCUAA
rnacentral:lncRNA from 1 species